GUGGGAUCUUAACUAACUCCCUGACCAGGGAUAGAACCCACACACCCUGCAUUGGAAGGUGAAGUCUUAACCACCGGACCACCAGGGAAGUCCCCACCAAAUCAUUCUUAAGCUAUGGGCUCUGAAGCAAAAUUAUAGGAGGUAUUUUUUUUCCUAAAAGGAAACAAUAUGCACAAUGGUUAGAGGGAAAACGUGAAAAUAACACGUGAUGAUUCUGCACCUCCCGUCAACCAUCUGGUUUUUCAGUAGUGUAAUUGCUAUCAGUAGGUCUGACUCAGU